GGAACGACUUUUAAACAGGAGCUAAUGCGUUUUCAACCUUAACAAAGCCAACUAAAAGAAUUAUUCUUUGUCCUUUUUUAAGAAAUACAGACACAAUUUCUUGAUACCGCAAACAAUAAUACAAAAAUAGGCAAAUAGCACCUUUGUCAGCAAUCAUAAACUCUCAAUUUAGCAGUGUGUUCCUCCCCCAAGAAAUCUCCAGGAACUGGGAGGUGUUCUAUGAAGUAUUUUUGCUUCUUGUCAUUUUAAUGGCAGCAAGCUGUUUAUUUUCAGUUGCGGUGACAGCUAGAAUCUUACCAGGUCUUCAAAAUUUCAGGCAGUUAACUUCUCUCAAAUUGUUUCCGUAUACUCAUAAGUUCAAGGUUGCAAGUGGAGAGCCUGCAUUUUUGAAGUAAGCUGAGAGAUCUACAUGCAGGUCAUCAUACAUGUUCAUGAAGGGAUGUGUCAUAAGUUCAUUUGCUGACAGUCUGUCAUUUGGGUCUUUCUGCACACUGAAAAAGAUGCAGAAUCCAAAUGGGAAUUAGUAACCUCAUAAGUCAUAAUAUAGUCUAGGCCAAAAGAAAAUUACCAAUUCAAUCUAAAAGAAAACAAACAAAGAAAUGACAUGCAAAAACCUUAUUAUAUCAAAUAUUCUAAAUAGAGAUUAAAUAUUUUCUAUCUAAUUGCUUGAUACUCAUAAUAAUCAAUCAACAUGAAAAGCAUGCACAGGCUAUAUGCAAAUUAUAUCCUAGACGAUGGACUCAUCAAAUAUCAUAUUGAAAGCCUGAAAUCAGUCUUAUAACUAGAGACAGCAAAACUAAUAUAGAACAUAACUUAGGAAGCACCAAAUAAUUAAUCUUUACCAUGAAGAUAUGAAUGAGCAAAACUCUGGGGAAAAUUGAUCAGAAGGUGCGCAAGGUUCAGGUUGCUCAACAAUAGCUUCCAUAAGUUCAAAGAUGUUAGCCCAGACUUCAUCCUGUUCUGGAGGGGAAUAUGGGAAUUGACCAGUUGCACACUCCAGCAAUACUAUACCCAUGCUCCAAAUGUCACUUUUGUAGUUAUGUGAUCCUUCACUAAUUUCACUGCUGAUUCUCUCAGGCUACAUAGCACAAUCACACACGAACAAGUUUUAAAUACAAGCAGAAUAAUGGGUAACCUCUGCACUUUGCAGCCAGAGGAAAGAGGAAAAAUUCUUGUGCAUUACCAUAUAUACAAUUAAGGAAAAUUAUACAAUUAAAUACUCACAGACAUAUAGUGGUAUGUACCAACAUAAGUAUUUGCCUGUCCAGAGGUGCUUGCCAUUAUUGCACUCACACCAAAGUCAGCAAUCUUGACUUCUCCUUUAUGAUUUAUUAAUAUAUUAGAAGGUUUUAAGUCCCUAUGAAUAAUAUGUUUUUCAUGAUGAAGAUACAAUAAACCCUGGAGCACCUGCUUACAGAUGGCAGCAAGAUAUGGUUCUGUAAUUUUUUUACUUUUUUUCAGAAGCUCUACCAAAGAUCCACCAUCCAUAUACUCUAAGACAAUUGAAAUGUCACCAUUGUUAAAGAAUGACUCGUAAAACUUGACCACAUAUGGACAUUGUGAGGUUAGAUUAAUUCUUAAUUCUCUGGCAAUUGCUUUCCUUGCCUUCUCCUCAAUCUUCAGCUGUAUAGCCUAAAUCAAACAAGAAUCACAAAAUUCAUGAUAGAAAGUGUCAACUACUUAGUUGGAAAAUAGAGUAAAUGGAGAGCAGGAUUUUAGCUUUCACAAGACGUUGCAGAAGCUUAGCAUUAACAUGAUACAGCAAAUUAUCCAGCUGAGUCCAAAGGAACGGACAAGAGGAAUCUCUUUGGGUGGUAUAUUCUAGAAGGAUCAAGAUGUCCAGCUCAUCCCUUUUCCAUUGGAGAAGAAUUCAGGGAACAUGUGAAGCAGUAGCCACAAGGUGUCAUAUAUUAGAAGAAGAGAGUGUGAGGGAGGGAUAUGACUAGUAUUUUGUAAUUUGGUUCCAGCUAUUAGACAGCUUGGGGGCAGUAUUUUAGCUGCUGGGGUGAGAGAAACUUAUAUUUCCUUCCACCUGUAUUACUCUUGCUGAUAAUUUGCAUUGCUGCUGCAAUCUUCCAGUUUCUCUGUUUAUUUCCUUCUCUGUUCUGCUCUUAAAUUGCUUACUCUUAUCAUAACAUAACAAAAAGAGACAAGUUGGAGAGGAGAGACUCAAAUUUCAUUCUAAAAACAGAGGAUAUACAAACACAAACAUAGAGAUUUUUUUUCCCUUCUUUUCCUCUUCAUUUUCUAAACUCUCUCCAACUCUCAGCUCUCUCUCUCUAUUCCAGCAAUAGUCUCUUCCCUUUUAUAGAGAAAGAUGGCUUCCCUUAGACAACAAAAGCUCACAUUUACACCAUACUUGAGUAUAGCCAAGUAGUUUUGCUUGUACACAUGGUUUUUCACCUACUAGCAAAGAUUACAAUCACUACAUAUCAAGUGAAAAUCUCAACAACUUCAAACUACUCAACUUAAAGGCUCAAACACAUAGAAAAGUCCAAUAAUAGUUUAUAUCAUGCCCUCUCACAUGCCUAGAGCUAGGAUAAGAAAUCUAUAUUCGAACUCUGACCUCUUAGUCAGAUAAGCUCUCAUAGCAUAUAAGAGAUCACUCAACUUAAAAAUUCAAGCUAUUCUCAAUGAGGUCCAAGAAUAAUUUAUAUCUCCAACAGAAAGGAACAGCAAUGUAAAUAGCAAAGCAUGCAUAUUUUCAUGGAAUAGAGAAGCAUAAAGCUGAGAAUGGUAAGAACUAAGAAAAAGAAAGAUUAGUCCUGAAUGGAUCAUACCUUUAAUGCAAAAAACUGUUCAGUCCACUUAUGACGCACCAGUUGCACAAUUCCACUACUUCCCUUGCCAAUGACCUUAACGGUUUCUAAGUCAGCCAAAGCCAACUGGUGGUCUGAUGGCUUUAUGGGGGGUGCAGCUUGAGUUUCGUUUUGAGAGACAAUUCGAAUUCCAUCGCGAUUCACGCGCAGAUCACCAUCGACAAACGUACCGCUUU
rnacentral:misc_RNA from 1 species